AUUGAACGCUGGCGGCAUGCCUUACACAUGCAAGUCGAACGGUAACAGGUCUUCGGAUGCUGACGAGUGGCGAACGGGUGAGUAAUACAUCGGAACGUGCCCGAUCGUGGGGGAUAACGGAGCGAAAGCUUUGCUAAUACCGCAUACGAUCUACGGAUGAAAGCAGGGGACCGCAAGGCCUUGCGCGGACGGAGCGGCCGAUGGCAGAUGAGGUAGUUGGUGGGAUAAAAGCUUACCAAGCCGACGAUCUGUAGCUGGUCUGAGAGGACGACCAGCCACACUGGGACUGAGACACGGCCCAGACUCCUACGGGAGGCAGCAGUGGGGAAUUUUGGACAAUGGGCGAAAGCCUGAUCCAGCCAUGCCGCGUGCAGGAUGAAGGCCUUCGGGUUGUAAACUGCUUUUGUACGGAACGAAAAGACUCUUUCUAAUAAAGAGGGUCCAUGACGGUACCGUAAGAAUAAGCACCGGCUAACUACGUG
rnacentral:rRNA from 1 species